rnacentral:rRNA from 1 species
GACGAACGCUGGCGGCGUGCUUAACACAUGCAAGUCGAACGGAAAGGCCUGCUUUCCCUUGUGGAGUGCGGGUACUCGAGUGGCGAACGGGUGAGUAACACGUGAGUGAUCUGCCCCCAACUUGGGUAUAAGCCUGGGAAACUGGGGCUAAUUCCCGAUAGGACUGCAGGGUGGUGCCUGUGGUGGAAAACGAUUUUCUAGUGGUUGGGGAUGAGCUCGCGGCCUAUCAGCUUGUUGGUGGGGGAAUGGCGUACCAAGGCGGCGACGGGUAGCCGGCCUGAGAGGGUGGACGGCCACAUUGGGACUGAGCUACGGCCCAGACUCGUACGGGAGGCAGAAGUGGGGACUAUUGCACAAUGGGCGGAAGCCUGAUGCAGCGACGCAGCCUGGGGGAUGACGGCCUUCGGGUGGUAAACUCCUUUCGACCGCGAGGAAGCCACCUGGUUGGAAGGGUGGUGACGGUAGUGGUAGAAGAAGCACCGGCUAACUACGUG